UACUAAAAAUUUUAAAAAUUUUCUAAACCCCACCAGAAAAGAAUGUAAGAUUUACACUUUUUUUAGAAUGUACAAGUAGUAAUGCUCUUUGCUCUUUUAUCUAGGGGCAAUUUCAAAUAUAAUCUUCUCUAAAACUCAAAAAUAUUAUAGAUGCAUUUUCCAAAUUUAAAAUAUCAUAAAUAUCAACCUAGACGCAUAAAUUUAUCGUAAAUGCUCCUCUAAACAUAUACUAUUACAAGUAUUCCUCUACAAUAUAUCCGAAUCCAAACAUUAACUUAAAUCUUUUUUAUAUACAGAA
rnacentral:lncRNA from 1 species